CCCCCAAUACACGCGCUUCUGGUGUAUGUGUUGUUUUUUUUCCAAGCGAUUGCCGAGAAUGAGGUGAGAGGGUAGGUCAUUAUAGCUCGGGCGUGCGGUUAUACACAGGAGUUCGGUGUACAGAGGAGAGGUUUGAUGCGGUUAUGCCGUACUCUCUGGCUGUAAUGACCACUCUCUCACCUUUCUCAUUCCUCCAUCCCAUGGAUGCAUCGCGCUGGUACGUGAACUUCUCCUACAGCCCUUUUUUCUUUGCUUACGUGUCACAUGUGGGGGGAUCUGGGCCGUGCAAAAGGCGGGCCAGACCAUGGAGAUCACCCAGCACAAAAACUGGGUCGAUCGCUCUUUAGGCGGGGCUAUAUGUAAUUCGAGUCAAACCGUUGGUUGUCCAUUGAUGUUCACAGCGGCUCGUGGGUUUCCUUUAUCUACACCGUUGAAUGAGGCAUCUUCCGUCUUGGAAGAUCCUAGACAUCAGAUCUCUGGCCUUCUUUUCCCAAAACGGGUGUUGGAAGCAAUAGUGAGAUCAGUGGUCACCAGCCAUGGACCCCACUUACAUGGAUUGGUUGAUUAGGAGGAAGGGAGACGGUACAUCUAUGGAAUAUCGUAGAACUAGAACCAUUCCUCUCCGUACACGUGGCAGGGUGAGAAAUGAAGAGAGGUGAUAGAUUCGUAUAUUGUCAUCGGUGUGAUUUUCAGGGUCGUUUUUGGUAGAUCGUUUGGAUCCCACCUAGUGGUAGUGGCCUGUUUCGCACAGCAAAAUUUAGUACUGUCAGGCUCGUUCUUAUCUUGUCCGUUUGGGCCGGAUAGAGGAGGCAGUAAACCCUAAACCCUAAUCCCUAAUCCUAAACCCUAAACCCUAAUCCUUACUCUUUCUUGCGAUGUGGCCUACUUGGAUGUUUGAUUUUCCUUCUUUUUGGCAUCCCAUCCUUAUUUAACUGGUGGGCAUUCCAUCCUCACUCUUUCUUUAGAUGUGACCUACUUGGAUGUUUGAUUUUCCUUCUUUCUGGGAUAAUAUUCUAACAUGAGUUGGUCCAAAAGGCAUAUGAAGUAGAUAUUAUGUUGUCGUCAUGGUGCCCCACAUAGCCUUUUACAACAUGGGUUGCUUAUUACCUCUCUCUCUCUCUCUCUCUCUCUCUCUCUAUAUAUAUAUAUAUAUAUAUAUAUAUAUAUAUAUUGGUUAGUUGAAAGGUUAUGGUAAAAAGCUAAAGUUUUAUACAUUUCUAUGGUAAAAAGCUGAAGUUCAAAACAUCUCUAUUGAUGAUUAAUUCUGAGAGCCAACAUAUCCAAAGCUGCUUGUUCUAUAUUCAAUAGAGAUAUUAGUUACCAGGCGCUUGUAAAAACAAUUAGUUAGGACAUGUGGUGCAUUGUAUGUUGAAAGCUUGGUACAUGUUCAUUUGUGGAGCUUGAAAACGUAUGUGUGGUGCAUGUAUAGCUUGGUACAUGUGCAAAUAGUUAGUUGAAGGUUGAAUGUGGUAUAGUUGGCACAUUUAGUAUUGUGUACUAUAACAAGAAUUAGUAGGUCUCAGGUAUUUUUAGGAACAAGAGAGACCCUAUAAUCAUAAAAAAAAUGCUUGAACAACUGGUCCUUGUUUGUUUAUUUUUGUUUAGAGAAGCAGUAGACAAAUUUUAGACAAGAUGAUUGUCCUUGGUUUGAUUUUAUUUUUGCUAGUUCAUAAGCUCCCUUAAGGAGGGAGAUGGUAUGAUUGUGCAAUUGUAAAGCCAUCCCUACAUAAGCACAUGAAGGGGUGAGGAGUGAAAAGGCGAUAGGUUGUGUUAUGUCAUAGAUGCAUUGUGUAAGGGCUGCAGUUUUUGUUAGUGUCAAGACCUACAGUGGUGCACUAUCAACUAUAGGAAAAAAGAGCAUGUUUGGAUGCAACAAUAAUUAUUUCCCAACAGUUUCCUAAACAGUAAGACUUGUGCUACUUUGGAGUAGUAAAAGUUUAGUCCUAGAUAAGUUAUGUAGGUGAUGCUAACUUGGAUUAGGCUGUUUGGUUAUUUUAUCAUAGAUUAUCUAUUUUGCUACU